rnacentral:rRNA from 1 species
CCGCUGAAUUUAAGCAUAUAACUAAGCGGAGGAAAAGAAACUAACAAGGAUUUCCCCAGUAACGGCGAGUGAAGCGGGAAGAGCCCAGCACCGAAUCCCCCAGUGUCAUGCUGGCGGGAACUGUGGUGUGUGGGACGCCACCAGUCGCAUAUGUCGGCACCGAAGUCCUCCUGAUUGAGGCUUCACCCAGAGUGGGUGUAAGGCCUUUGCUGGUGUUCGACUGUGCGGCCGCGAGCGUCUCAGGAGUCGGGUUGUUUGGGAAUGCAGCCCAAAGUGGGUGGUAAACUCCAUCUAAGGCUAAAUACUGGCACGAGUGCGAUAGCGGAUGAGUACCGCGA